rnacentral:rRNA from 1 species
UUAGAAGCAGCCAUCAUUUAAAGAAAGCGUAAUAGCUCACUGGUCGAGUCGGCCUGCGCGGAAGAUGUAACGGGGCUAAACCAUGCACCGAAGCUGCGGCAGCGACGCUUAUGCGUUGUUGGGUAGGGGAGCGUUCUGUAAGCCUGUGAAGGUGUACUGUGAGGUAUGCUGGAGGUAUCAGAAGUGCGAAUGCUGACAUAAGUAACGAUAAAGCGGGUGAAAAGCCCGCUCGCCGGAAGACCAAGGGUUCCUGUCCAACGUUAAUCGGGGCAGGGUGAGUCGACCCCUAAGGCGAGGCCGAAAGGCGUAGU